UACGUAGGGGGCUAGCGUUGUCCGGAAUCAUUGGGCGUAAAGCGCGUGUAGGCGGUCCGGUAAGUCCGCUGUGAAAGUCGGGGGCUCAACCUCGGAAUGCCGGUGGAUACUGUCGGGCUUGAGUACGGAAGAGGCGAGUGGAAUUCCUGGUGUAGCGGUGAAAUGCGCAGAUAUCAGGAGGAACACCAAUUGCGAAGGCAGCUCGCUGGGACGUUACUGACGCUGAGACGCGAAAGCGUGGGGAGCAACAGG
rnacentral:rRNA from 1 species